rnacentral:tRNA from 1 species
GGUCCGAUGGUGUAGUUGGUCAUCACGUCAGUCUAACACACUGAAGGUCUCCGGUUCGAGCCCGGGUCAGAUCA